rnacentral:tmRNA from 1 species
AUGCUUUGAUUUUCUUUUUGUUUGCUCUAUAAUGAUAGGUGCGGGCUUGCCCGCUAUGACGCUAGACGUGGAUGCGGAAUAAGCGUUCGUGGACCCCGGGGCAGUACCGGGCAGCUCCACCAUUUACGAUUUUACGCUUUGCUUAUGCAAAGCUUACGUUCAAACGCCACUAAGGCUUCGUGCUCUGCACGGCCCGCGGUCGCGGGCUUUUAGGUGAAGUGGGCGGUUAUCGUAAAAAAUGGGGCUGAAACAGGAUCGACACGCGUAGUAAAGGCAUAUUGCGGCGUUCGGCAUGAUACCGCCGUUACCGGGUCAAUAUUAUAAAUGCAAACGAUAACUUUGCGUUCGUAGCCGCUAACGACAACUCAGUUGUUGAAGGCGAAGGUCGUAUGGCUGCCUAAUCGGGCCGUCUCGACAGCUACAAUCAAAUCUUAGGGAUUAACGUCUCUUAAGUGGGGCCCGGGCCGAGCCUUGCAACAGAAUCGGUCCAUU